GGAAGGAUGAGCUUGUGGCUAAGAUGCUGGACUGGGACUCGAGAGAGCUGGGUUCUAAUUCCCAGUUCUACCA
rnacentral:tRNA from 1 species